rnacentral:rRNA from 1 species
GCUUGGCAGUAAAAGGCUGAAAAUUACCAUCCGCCCGCCAGACGAGUACAAGUAAAAACUUUAAACUCAAAGGACUUGACGGUACUCCACACACAACCUAGAGGAGCCUGUCCUAUAAUCGAUGAUCCACGAUAGACCUCGCCGCCUCUCGCCAAACAACCUAUAUACCGCCGUCGCAAGCUCACCUUUUGAAAGGAGCGAAGUGAGCUCAACAAUUCAACGUUUUAACGUCAGGUCAAGGUGUAGUUUAUGGGGCGGGCAGAGAUGGGCUACAUUUCCUUUUUAAAGGACACACGAACGGCCUAAUGAAAACGGGCCCGAAGGAGGAUUUAGUAGUAAAAUCGGAUAAGCAAACCCAUUUGAACACACUGCCCUGGAGUGCGC